rnacentral:rRNA from 1 species
GACGAACGCUGGCGGCGUGCUUAACACAUGCAAGCCGAACGGAAAGGCCCCUUUGGGGGUACUCGAGUGGCGAACGGGUGAGUAACACGUGAGUAACCUGCCCUUGACUUCGGGAUAACUUCAGGAAACUGGGGCUAAUACCGGAUAGGAAUCCUUGCUGCAUGGUGGGGGUUGGAAAGCUUCGGCGGUUUUGGAUGGACUCGCGGCUUAUCAGCUUGUUGGUGGGGUAGUGGCUUACCAAGGCUUUGACGGGUAGCCGGCCUGAGAGGGCGACCGGCCACAUUGGGACUGAGAUACGGCCCAGACUCCUACGGGAGGCAGCAGUGGGGAAUAUUGCACAAUGGGCGGAAGCCUGAUGCAGCAACGCCGCGUGCGGGAUGACGGCCUUCGGGUUGUAAACCGCUUUCAGCAGGGGCGAAGCUUGUGGUGACGGUACCUGCAGAAGAAGCACCGGCUAACUACGUG